AACCGAUAGGAGGAACCGACCCACGGCUACUUCUCUAUGAAACCUUUGCUCAAGACCCCACCUGCAGUGAGCCCCUCAGGCAGGACCUGGCUCUGAUCUGAAAACACACACUUUCCCCUGCUGGGUACAGCCCGUCAACACUGCAUCUGAACACUAAUCAGAAGUAGAAGCACGGAAAGCAUCUGUGAUGGGAAACGUCAAAGGGGAGUUGUUGGAUGAGAGGACCUGAGACGCAGCAGGGCCAGCAAGUUGUCUCAGUGGGCAAAAGUGCUUGCCACUAUGGGGAUCUGAGUUCAAUACGUGCAUCAAGGCUCAUCUGUGGGGAAGUAUCUAGAACUCAAACGCUGGAAUGCUGUACCUGAGGAACACUGGACUCAGAGGAAGAGGAAGGAGUGAAGUUCCCUGACCUCUUCCCAGCUCUGGGUGUGUGAAGGCAACAGGUCUGGAACACGCCCUGCCUGUAUCAAUUAGUGAGCUCGCCGGGGAAGGCAAACGCACUGGGUCUUCACCUCUUUUAGUUAAACUGCUCAUCGAAGGCCGUUUGGAAUCAGGCAAUAGCUCACUGCACAGUUCAGCAGGACACAGCCUGCUUUACACGGCAGCGGCAUUGAGUACAUGGUACUGUUGUGCCCCAACCGUCGCCAUUCAUCUCCAGAACUCUUGUAAAACACAGGUCUUUGUAGUGGCAUUUCAUUCGUAUCUUAAUAAAUAACGUU